rnacentral:rRNA from 1 species
UACGUAGGGUGCAAGCGUUAAUCGGAAUUACUGGGCGUAAAGCGUGCGCAGGCGGCUUUGCAAGACAGAUGUGAAAUCCCCGGGCUCAACCUGGGAACUGCAUUUGUGACUGCAAGGCUAGAGUACGGUAGAGGGGGAUGGAAUUCCGCGUGUAGCAGUGAAAUGCGCAGAUAUCAGGAGGAACACCGGUGGCGAAGGCGGAUCUCUGGGCCUUGCCUGACGCUGAGGCGCGAAAGCUAGGGGAGCGAACAGG